GACGAACGCUGGCGGCGUGCCUAAUACAUGCAAGUCGAGCGAAGUUUUUCUGGUGCUUGCACUAGAAAAACUUAGCGGCGCACGGGUGAGUAACACGUAAAGAACCUGCCUCAUAGACUGGGACAACUAUUGGAAACGAUAGCUAAUACCGGAUAACAGUAUUUCUCGCAUGAGAGGUAUUUAAAAGUUGGUUAUGCUAACACUAUGAGAUGGCUUUGCGGUGCAUUAGCUAGUUGGUGGGGUAAAGGCCCACCAAGGCGACGAUGCAUAGCCGACCUGAGAGGGUGAUCGGCCACACUGGGACUGAGACACGGCCCAGACUCCUACGGGAGGCAGCAGUAGGGAAUCUUCCGCAAUGGGCGAAAGCCUGACGGAGCAACGCCGCGUGAGUGAAGAAGGAUUUCGGUUCGUAAAGCUCUGUUGUUAGGGAAGAAUGGAUAUGUAGUAACUAUACAUGUAAGAGACGGUACCUAACCAGAAAGCCACGGCUAACUACGUG
rnacentral:rRNA from 1 species